GGGGGAAGAAGAAGAAGAAGAAGAAGAAGAAAGAAAAGAGAAAGGAAAGAAAGAAAAAAAAGUUUUUAACCCUACAAAAAACUUCUACAAAAUUUUUCUCCUUACAAAAAACUUCUACAAAAAUUUUUCAAAAACUUCUACAGUGCACUACAGUAAAGUUUUAGACAAACUCUCAAAAAACUAGGGUUCCAAACAGGCCCUAAGUAAACCGUGCUGUUUGUCUUUCAAUUGUUUAGUCUAUAAGCCUAUUAAUUUUGCCCCUCGUCGAGGUCCUUAAUUCUACCUUACAAUUUAUAUUGUGAACCUAUUAAAUUUUUAUGGUUGGUUUGAAAUAUAUGAUUUUUGGAUGUUUGUAUAAAAUUUUACUAUAACUUAUUGUGAAAUCGACAAAAAAAAAAUUGGGUGUAUUUUUAGGGUUUGGAAAAAUUAAAAAUUUUCCCUUUUUUGUCUUCUUUUUCUUUUCCUUUUUUUCUUUUCUUUCGUUUUUCUUUCCCUUUCUUCCUUCCUUCUCCUUCCUCUCCCACAUCCCCGUACCAGAUUAAAUCAGAGCUCUUCCUCCCUCCCAACUGUCGCGCGGCAGCCUCCUGCCACCACCGGCGGCGAUGGAAACUCCUUUUUUUCCCCUUCUCUAUGUCUCCCUCCCUCUCCUCUUUCGUCUUUCAUCUCUCUUCCCUCCCUCCCUUCUUCUCUUCUCCUAUCUCCUUUCCUCCUCCUUCUCCUCCUCUUUCCUUCACCAGCUCCACUCGAUCAGAGGGGGAGAGGGGGCCGAUGAAAAUGGGGAGGAGGGGGCCAAUGA
rnacentral:lncRNA from 1 species